GUCGUUGUAGUAUAGUGGUGAGUAUUUCCGCCUGUCACGCGGGUGACCCGGGUUCGAUCCCCCAAAACGACG
rnacentral:tRNA from 1 species